rnacentral:rRNA from 1 species
AUUGAACGCUGGCGGCAUGCCUAACACAUGCAAGUCGAACGCGUGGCGGACGGGUGAGUCAUUUCUGGGAACCUCCCCAGUGGCGGGGGAUAACUCCUGGAACCGGUGGCUAAUCCCGCAUACCAUUGGCUCUUCCCAGAUGGGAUUAGCUAGUAGGUGGGGUAACGGCUCACCUAGGCGACGAUCCCUAGCUGGUCUGAGAGGAUGACCAGCCACACUGGAACUGAGACACGGUCCAGACUCCUACGGGAGGCAGCAGUGGGGAAGAUUGGACAAUGGGCGAAAGCCUGAUGCAGCCAUGCCGCGUGUAUGAAGAAGGCCUUCGGGUUGUAAAGUACUUUCAGCGGGGAGGCGGUACCGGCAGAAGAAGCACCGGCUAACUACGUGCCAGCAGCCGCGGUAAUUC